GUUCUGAAGCAGCUACAGCAGCAGUACAGCUGAUAUUUAAGAUUCAGAUCAGAAGAGGAGGUUUCUCACCCUACAGCAGGGACCUGCGAGCAUGGCAUGCCCUGGCUUCCUGUGGACACUUGUGAUCUCCACCUAUCUCGAAUUCAGCAUAGCCCAGAGAGUCACUCAGUCUGAAUCAGAGAUGUCUGUGCAGGAAGCAGAGACUGUGACCCUGAAUUGCACAUAUGACUCCAGUGACAGUGAUUAUUAUUUAUUCUGGUACAAGCAGCCUCCUAGCAGGCAGAUGAUUCUCAUUAUUCGCCAAGAAGCUUAUAAGCAACAGAAUGCAACGGAGAAUCGUUUCUCUGUGAACUUCCAGAAAGCAGCCAAAUCCUUCAGUCUCAAGAUCUCAGAUGUACAGCUGGGGGACACCGCCAUGUAUUUCUGUGCUUAUAGGAGCACACAGUGAGACAAGCAAUAGGGAGAGGCUUACAGAAACCUCAGACUUCAGCAUCUGUACAAAGGUCAGGGGAAGUGUUCAGGGUUAUAGGAACACACAGAGGAAAUCAUUGUCUUCUCUGGAGGAAAGAAAAUGUAUCUGACUAUAGGAAACAUAGAAGGAACGUGUAUAAGCUGUAAUUUUCAAAAUAGCAAUGAAAUAAUGAAUGCACACAUGCUUUAUAGAUUUUCAAAUUACCUUCUCAUGUUAAUUCAUUAAACCUGCACAAGCCUGUGAUGUUACAUAGGUCAGAUCAGAUAUUCUAAGCAUCACUACUAUCCAGAGAAUCUUAAAGCUUGACCUAAAGCUACAUUCUUUUAGAAUCAUGUCUUUUCCCUUUAUUAUUGUGAUUACUAUCUAUACAUCCCAUAAUCAUAUUAAAGUCAAUAUAUCCAAAACUGAAUUUCUUACCAUCUCCAUAAAUCUUUAUUUUUUUCUCUAUUUUUCCUCUUUAGCCUUGCCCAAAAUUCAGGCACACAAUAAAAUUUUGCUAGUGCUGGGUUUCCAGUUUGGAGAAUUUCUUCACCCUUGCUUUCCAGCCUGGGCUAUCUGA